AACGAACGCUGGCGGCAGGCUUAACACAUGCAAGUCGAACGCCCCGCAAGGGGAGUGGCAGACGGGUGAGUAACGCGUGGGAAUCUACCCAGUUCUACGGAAUAACCCAGGGAAACUUGGACUAAUACCGUAUACGCCCUACGGGGGAAAGAUUUAUCGGAAUUGGAUGAGCCCGCGUAAGAUUAGCUAGUUGGUGGGGUAAUGGCCUACCAAGGCGACGAUCUUUAGCUGGUCUGAGAGGAUGAUCAGCCACACUGGGACUGAGACACGGCCCAGACUCCUACGGGAGGCAGCAGUGGGGAAUAUUGGACAAUGGGCGCAAGCCUGAUCCAGCCAUGCCGCGUGAGUGAUGAAGGCCUUAGGGUUGUAAAGCUCUUUCAGUGGGGAAGAUAAUGACGGUACCCACAGAAGAAGCCCCGGCUAACUUCGUGCCAGCAGCCGCGGUAAUAC
rnacentral:rRNA from 1 species